UACGGAGGGGGCUAGCGUUGUUCGGAAUUACUGGGCGUAAAGCGCGCGUAGGCGGCUUUGUAAGUUAGAGGUGAAAGCCCGGAGCUCAACUCCGGAACUGCCUUUAAGACUGCAUCGCUAGAAUUGUGGAGAGGUGAGUGGAAUUCCGAGUGUAGAGGUGAAAUGCGCAGAUAUCAGGAAGAACACCCGUGGCGAAGGCGGCUCUCUGGGACGGUACUGACGCUGAGACGCGAAAGCGUGGGGAGCGAACAGG
rnacentral:rRNA from 1 species